CAGGGAGACAAUAACUGAUCGUGAUGUCUGAGUACUUUAUUCUCAGGCCAUGAUCCUGUCAUCUCGAAGGUCGAUCGGUACCUCAAUUUCAAUGCUGAGAUGCACUGGUUUACCAGUGGAUGCUCAUGUGUUGAUCUUUAGUUCCUAAACGUUGUCUAGGUCACCCCAUAGAGGGUUCACUUCCUGGGCCAUUAGCUCAGGUGGUUAGAGCGCACCCCUGAUAAGGGUGAGGUCCCUGGUUCAAGUCCAGGAUGGCCCAUUCCAAAAUCCAGUUUUGGAUCAUUUGGGGGUUUAGCUCAGUUGGUAGAGCGCCUGCUUUGCAAGCAGGAUGUCAGCGGUUCGAGUCCGCUAACCUCCACUAACAUCUGAACUCCUACCAGGAAGCGAUUCUUGGCUGGUGACGUAGACGUUGUUCGCUGAACGAGUUCAGCCUCAGUGCAUUCCAAGUGUUGUUGAUCAAGUGGNAUCACGAGACGAUCGGUUGCUCUGAUG
rnacentral:tRNA from 1 species